rnacentral:rRNA from 1 species
UGAGUAACCUGCCCUUAACUCUGGGAUAAGCCUGGGAAACUGGGUCUAAUACCGGAUAUGACUCCUCAUCGCAUGGUGGGGGGUAGG